UCAAGCGAAUAAGCGCACACGGUGGAUGCCUAGGCGGUCAGAGGCGAUGAAGGACGUGGUAGCCUGCGAAAAGUGUCGGGGAGCUGGCAACAAGCUUUGAUCCGGCAAUAUCCGAAUGGGGAAACCCACUGCUUCGGCAGUAUCUUGCAGUGAAUUCAUAGCUGCUUGAAGCGAACCCGGUGAACUGAAAUAUCUAAGUAACCGGAGGAAAAGAAAUCAACCGAGAUUCCCUGAGUAGUGACGAGCGAACGGGGAACAGCCCUUAAGCUGGAAUGGCUUUAGAAAAACAAUCUGGAAAGAUUGGCCAUAGAAGGUGAUAGCCCUGUAUUUAAAAGGGCCACUCCAGUGAAGACGAGUAGGGCGGGGCACGUGAAACCCUGUCUGAAUAUGGGGGGACCAUCCUCCAAGGCUAAAUACUCCUGACCGACCGAUAGUGAACCAGUACCGUGAGGGAAAGGCGAAAAGAACCCCGGAGAGGGGAGUGAAAUAGAUCCUGAAACCGUGUGCGUACAAGCAGUAGGAGCUCGCAAGAGUGACUGCGUACCUUUUGUAUAAUGGGUCAGCGACUUACUGUUCGUGGCAAGCUUAACCGUAUAGGGGAGGCGAAGGGAAACCGAGUCUGAUAAGGGCGCAUAGUCGCGGGCAGUAGACCCGAAACCGGGUGAUCUAGUCAUGGCCAGGGUGAAGGUGCCGUAACAGGUACUGGAGGCCCGAACCCACGUCUGUUGCAAAAGACGGGGAUGAGCUGUGAUUAGGAGUGAAAAGCUAAUCGAACCCGGAGAUAGCUGGUUCUCCUCGAAAGCUAUUUAGGUAGCGCCUCGGACGAAUACUACUGGGGGUAGAGCACUGUUAUGGCUAGGGGGUCAUCGCGACUUACCAAACCAUUGCAAACUCCGAAUACCAGUACGUACUAUCCGGGAGACACACGGCGGGUGCUAACGUCCGUCGUGAAAAGGGAAACAACCCAGACCCACAGCUAAGGUCCCAAAUUCACUGCUAAGUGGAAAACGAUGUGGAAAGGCAUAGACAGCCAGGAGGUUGGCUUAGAAGCAGCCACCCUUUAAAGAAAGCGUAAUAGCUCACUGGUCGAGUCGGUCUGCGCGGAAGAUUUAACGGGGCUAAGCAGUGAACCGAAGCUUGGGGUGCGUAAAACUUCGGUUUUAUGCGCGGUAGAGGAGCGUUCCGUAAGCCUGCGAAGGUGGAUUGAGAAGUCUGCUGGAGGUAUCGGAAGUGCGAAUGCUGACAUGAGUAACGAUAAUGCGGGUGAAAAGCCCGCACGCCGAAAGCCCAAGGUUUCCUUGCGCAACGUUAAUCGACGCAGGGUUAGUCGGUCCCUAAGGCGAGGGCGAAAGCCGUAGUCGAUGGGAAGCAGGUUAAUAUUCCUGCACCUCGCGUGAGUGCGAUGGAGGGACGGAGAAGGUUAGGUGUACCGGGCGUUGGUUGUCCCGGGGAAAGGCGGUAGGUUUGGAUCUUUGGCAAAUCCGGGAUCCUUUAAGACCGAGCACCGAGACGAGCCUUUAUGGCGAAGUCACUGAUACCACGCUUCCAGGAAAAGCUCCUAAGCUUCAGCUCACGAAGACCGUACCGUAAACCGACACAGGUGGGUAGGAUGAGAAUUCUCAGGCGCUUGAGAGAACUCGGGUGAAGGAACUAGGCAACAUGGCACCGUAACUUCGGGAGAAGGUGCACCCUUUUUGGUGGCUCAUGCGAGCUAUAGCUGAAGAGGGUCGCAGAAACCAGGCCGCUGCGACUGUUUAUCAAAAACACAGCACUCUGCAAACACGAAAGUGGACGUAUAGGGUGUGACGCCUGCCCGGUGCUGGAAGGUUAAUUGAUGGGGUCAGCCGCAAGGCGAAGCUCUUGAUCGAAGCCCCAGUAAACGGCGGCCGUAACUAUAACGGUCCUAAGGUAGCGAAAUUCCUUGUCGGGUAAGUUCCGACCUGCACGAAUGGCGUAACGACAGCGGCGCUGUCUCCACCCGAGACUCAGUGAAAUUGAAAUCGCUGUGAAGAUGCAGCGUUCCCGUGGCAAGACGGAAAGACCCCGUGAACCUUUACUAUAGCUUUACACUGAACGUUGAGUUCGUCUGUGUAGGAUAGGUGGGAGGCUAUGAAACUGUGGCGCUAGCUGCAGUGGAGCCAACCUUGAAAUACCACCCUGUCGUGCUUGACGUUCUAACCUAGAUCCGUUAUCCGGAUCAGGGACCGUGUAUGGUGGGUAGUUUGACUGGGGCGGUCUCCUCCUAAAGAGUAACGGAGGAGCACGAAGGUACGCUCAGCGCGGUCGGACAUCGCGCACUGUGUGCAAAGGCAUAAGCGUGCUUGACUGCAAGAUCGACGGAUCAAGCAGGUACGAAAGUAGGUCUUAGUGAUCCGGUGGUUCUGUAUGGAAGGGCCAUCGCUCAACGGAUAAAAGGUACUCCGGGGAUAACAGGCUGAUACCGCCCAAGAGUUCAUAUCGACGGCGGUGUUUGGCACCUCGAUGUCGGCUCAUCACAUCCUGGGGCUGUAGUCGGUCCCAAGGGUAUGGCUGUUCGCCAUUUAAAGUGGUACGCGAGCUGGGUUCAGAACGUCGUGAGACAGUUCGGUCCCUAUCUGCCAUGGGCGUUGGAAGUUUGAGAGGGGCUGCUCCUAGUACGAGAGGACCGGAGUGGACGAACCUCUGGUGUUCCGGUUGUCACGCCAGUGGCAUUGCCGGGUAGCUAUGUUCGGAAGCGAUAACCGCUGAAAGCAUCUAAGCGGGAAGCGCGCCUCAAGAUGAGACUUCCCGGGGCACAAGCCCCCUAAAGGAACCAUAUAGACUAUGUGGUUGAUAGGUCAGGUGUGUAAGUACAGUAAUGUAUUGAGCUAACUGAUACUAAUGAUCCGUGCGGCUUGACCAU
rnacentral:rRNA from 1 species